rnacentral:rRNA from 1 species
CCUACGGGCGGCAGCAGUGGGGAAUAUUGGGCAAUGGGCGCAAGCCUGACCCAGCAACGCCGCGUGAAGGAAGAAGGCUUUCGGGUUGUAAACUUCUUUUCUGAGGGACGAAGACAGUGACGGUACCUCAGGAAUAAGCCACGGCUAACUACGUGCCAGCAGCAGCGGUAAUACGUAGGUGGCAAGCGUUAUCCGGAUUUAUUGGGGGUAAAGGGCGUGUAGGCGGGAAAUCAAGUCAGAUGUGAAAUCUCAGGGCUCAACCCUGAGCCUGCAUUUGAAACUGGUUUUCUUGAGUGCUGGAGAGGCAAUCGGAAUUCCGUGUGUAGCGGUGAAAUGCGGAGAUAUACGGAGGAACACCAGUGGCGAAGGCGGAUUGCUGGACAGUAACUGACGCUGAGGCGCGAAAGCGUGGGGAGCAAACAGGAUUAGAUACCCCUGUAGUC